GAUGAACGCUAGCUACAGGCUUAACACAUGCAAGUCGAGGGGUAGCAGGGUAGCAAUACCGCUGACGACCGGCGCACGGGUGAGUAACACGUAUCCAACCUUCCCAUAACUCUGGGAUAGCCUUUCGAAAGAAAGAUUAAUACCGGAUGGUACUUUUUCAAGGCAUCUUGAGAAAGUUAAAGAUUUAUUGGUUAUGGAUGGGGAUGCGUUCCAUUAGAUAGUUGGUGAGGUAACGGCUCACCAAGUCUUCGAUGGAUAGGGGUUCUGAGAGGAAGGUCCCCCACAUUGGUACUGAGACACGGACCAAACUCCUACGGGAGGCAGCAGUGAGGAAUAUUGGUCAAUGGGCGAGAGCCUGAACCAGCCAAGUAGCGUGAAGGAUGAAGGUCCUAUGGAUUGUAAACUUCUUUUAUAGUAGAAUAAAGUGAUCCACGUGUGGAUUUUUGUAUGUAUACUAUGAAUAAGGAUCGGCUAACUCCGUGCCAGCAGCCGCGGUAAACGUAGCGUG
rnacentral:rRNA from 1 species